rnacentral:rRNA from 2 species
CGGGUGAGUAAUGUCUGGGAAACUGCCUGAUGGAGGGGGAUAACUACUGGAAACGGUAGCUAAUACCGCAUAACGUCGCAAGACCAAAGAGGGGGACCUUCGGGCCUCUUGCCAUCGGAUGUGCCCAGAUGGGAUUAGCUAGUAGGUGGGGUAACGGCUCACCUAGGCGACGAUCCCUAGCUGGUCUGAGAGGAUGACCAGCCACACUGGAACUGAGACACGGUCCAG